CACGUAGGCACCAAGCGUUGUCCGGAUUUAUUGGGCGUAAAGAGCUCGUAGGCGGUUCAGUAAGUCGGGUGUGAAAACUUUGGGCUUAACCCAAAGCGUGCAUCUGAUACUGCUGUGACUUGAGUUCGGUAGGGGAGUGGGGAAUUCCUAGUGUAGCGGUGAAAUGCGCAGAUAUUAGGAGGAACACCGGUGGCGAAGGCGCCAUUCUGGGCCGAAACUGACGCUGAGGAGCGAAAGCAUGGGUAGCAAACAGG
rnacentral:rRNA from 1 species